rnacentral:rRNA from 1 species
GGGGAAUUUUCCGCAAUGGGCGAAAGCCUGACGGAGCAAGACCGCGUGAGGGAGGAAGGCUCUUGGGUUGUAAACCUCUUUUCUCAGGGAAGAAGCUCUGACGGUACCUGAGGAAUCAGCCUCGGCUAACUCCGUGCCAGCAGCCGCGGUAAUACGGAGGAGGCAAGCGUUAUCCGGAAUUAUUGGGCGUAAAGCGUCCGCAGGUGGCGAUUCAAGUCUGCUGUCAAAGCACGGGGCUUAACUCCGUUAAGGCAGUGGAAACUGAAUGGCUAGAGUGCCGUAGGGGUAGAGGGAAUUCCCGGUGUAGCGG